GGGGAUGUAUUUGAUUCGACGAAUUUGGCUCUUUUAAAAUCAGCAAGCCGGGAAUGGUUUAAACCCGUUAAACAAAACCAAAACUAAAUGCCGACAGCAAUGUCGACUACUCUGUUGGGCCAGAGCUGAAUUUUGCUUUUGCAUAAAUUCUUAAAGUCUCUUGUCUCAACUAAAAGAGCAUUUUUAGGAAUCUUUUCUUAUCGAGAGCCUAAAGGUGACAACCCAGAUAAGAUGCGCCCGGUUAUUUUCUGUCUUGGAAAUAAUCGAGCAAAGAAAAAUCUAAAAGACUUACUCUAAAAUGGUUGUCAAUUACCAAUAUUUUAGAGGAAAAUUAUUAAUUGACUAAGCUUGUAGAAAUUUUAAAAAGUUACAUUCGGACGGGAGGUCGCACCUCCCCAUCUCCACAA
rnacentral:tmRNA from 1 species